AAGGGCACCACAAGAACGCGUGGAGCAUGUGGCUUAAUUUGACUCAACGCGGGAAAUCUUACCGGGUCCGGACACACUGAGGAUUGACAGGCGAUUGUAGCGUUUCGGUUUCGCCCGAACGCUGCUUCAAAUAUGCUAGUCCUUUCAUGAUUGUGUGAUAGGUGGUGCAUGGCCGUUCUUAGUUCGUGGAGUGAUCUGUCUGCUUAAUUGCGUUUCGCAAAGAGCUUUAUAGCAAGGUUUCGGCCGUGACACUCUCAUAUUCUGCUCCUUGCUGGGUGGUGUGAGAUUGCUGUCCGCCGUGGCCUUGUUAGAUCAUGCUCUGAAGGCAACGAACGUGACCGCAACCCCUUGUUGCCUCCCUUUUUCAUAAAAUAAGUGGGUUAACUUCUUAUUGCGCGGAGGGAAACUAGGGGGACUGCUGACGACUUUUAAACCAGAGGAAGGUUGCGGCAAUAACAGGUCUGUGAUGCCCUUAGAUGUUCCGGGCUGCACACGUGCUACAAUGAUUAUUGCAGUGAGCAUCUUACCCAAGUUCGUAUGUGCAGUUUGCUUACUCCUUCGAGAUGUUUUGCAGACGAGCAUAAAUACGACUAGCCUGCUUCGAAAGUAAGUAGGUAAUCAAUUCGAAGUAAUGAUUUCCUUUGCACAACCAUAAUGUCUCUAGUAGAGCGCAACUAUUCGUAGUUGGAGUUAUCUACUAUGAGGCAUGUGCUCCAUUAAUUCUUGGUGGGGACAGACCAUUGUUAAUUGUUGGUCUCGUCUUAACUAGGAAUGCCUUGUACGGGUCUUUGGUUCAACAAACCACCCGGAAUAUGUCCCUGCCCUUUGUACACACCGCCCGUC
rnacentral:rRNA from 1 species